rnacentral:rRNA from 1 species
UAGGGAAUCUUCGGCAAUGGACGAAAGUCUGACCGAGCAACGCCGCGUGAGUGAAGAAGGUUUUCGGAUCGUAAAACUCUGUUGUUAGAGAAGAACAAGGACGUUAGUAACUGAACGUCCCCUGACGGUAUCUAACCAGAAAGCCACGGCUAACUACGUGCCAGCAGCCGCGGUAAUACGUUGGUGGCAAGCGUUGUCCGGAAUUAUUGGGUGUAAAGCGAGCGCAGGCGGUUUCUUAAGUCUGAUGUGAAAGCCCCCGGCUCAACCGGGGAGGGUCAUUGGAAACUGGGAGACUUGAGUGCAGAAGAGGAGAGUGGAAUUCCGUGUGUAGCAGUGAAAUUCGUAGAUAUAUGGAGGAACACCAGUGGCGAAGGCGGCUCUCUGGACUGUAACUGACGCUGAGGCUCGAAAGCGUGGGGAGCAAACAGG